AGACUGGGUGACCGCCGUUCUUCCAUUUUGGAAGGAGGGAGGAAAGUCCGGGCUCCUCUGGGCAGGGUGCUGGGUAACUCCCAGGUCUCGAUCACCGGUUCGCUGGGGGUCGGGAACGGAAAGUGGCACAGAAACAUACCGUCCCGACUCGUCGGGAUAAGGGUGAAAUCGGACGGUAAGAGCGUCCGGCCGUUUGCGGUGACGCAGCGGCGGCUAAACCCCACCUGGAGCAAGGCCAAAUAGGGGGACAUAGGCGCCCGGCCCGUCCCCGGGUUGGCUGCUCGACUGCGACGGUAACGUCGCUCCGCCAAAGGCGGACUUCCGCCGGCUUCACCGCUGGCGGUUGGGCUAGAUAGAUGGUCACCGUUUUUCCCUUGCGGGAAGGAUACAGAACCCGGCUUAUAGGUCUGC
rnacentral:RNase_P_RNA from 1 species